GACGAACGCUGGCGGCGUGCUUAACACAUGCAAGUCGAACGGAAAGGCCCUGCUUUUGUGGGGUGCUCGAGUGGCGAACGGGUGAGUAACACGUGAGUAACCUGCCCUUGACUUUGGGAUAACUUCAGGAAACUGGGGCUAAUACCGGAUAGGAGCUCCUGCUGCAUGGUGGGGGUUGGAAAGUUUCGGCGGUUGGGGAUGGACUCGCGGCUUAUCAGCUUGUUGGUGGGGUAGUGGCUUACCAAGGCUUUGACGGGUAGCCGGCCUGAGAGGGUGACCGGCCACAUUGGGACUGAGAUACGGCCCAGACUCAGACGGGAGGCAGCAGUGGGGAAUAUGGCACAAUGGGCGGAAGCCUGAUGCAGCAACGCCGCGUGCGGGAUGACGGCCUUCGGGUUGUAAACCGCUUUCGCCUGUGACGAAGCGUGAGUGACGGUAAUGGGUAAAGAAGCACCGGCGAGCUACGU
rnacentral:rRNA from 1 species